AUCGCUUCUCGGCCUUUUGGCUAAGGUCAAGUGUAGUAUCUGUUCUUAUCAGUUUAAAAAGCCUAUCUGAAACAGAAUGUAGUAGAGAAUACAUUUUCCAUUUACAUUCUGUUCAGCCUAUAGCAUUCAGACUUAUCUUUUUUUAAAAUUAAAUUUUUUUUAUUGAAGUGUAGUUGAU
rnacentral:snRNA from 1 species